rnacentral:rRNA from 1 species
GACAGAGGGUGCAAACGUUGUUCGGAAUUACUGGGCGUAAAGCGCGUGUAGGCAGCUCGGAAAGUCGGAUGUGAAAGCCCUGGGCUUAACCCAGGAAGUGCAUUCGAAACUUCCAAGCUUGAGUUCUGGAGAGGAAGGCGGAAUUCUCGGUGUAGAGGUGAAAUUCGUAGAUAUCGAGAGGAACACCGGUGGCGAAGGCGGCCUUCUGGACAGUGACUGACGCUGAGACGCGAAAGCGUGGGGAGCAAACAGG